rnacentral:piRNA from 1 species
ACACAUACACUGGUGUUGGACAG